CGAGUGGCGGACGGGUGAGUAACGCGUGGGUAACCUGCCUUACACAGGGGGAUAACACCUGGAAACAGGUGCUAAUACCGCAUAAGCGCACAGGGCCGCAUGGCCCGGUGUGAAAAACUCCGGUGGUGUAAGAUGGACCCGCGUCUGAUUAGCUUGUUGGCGGGGUAGAGGCCCACCAAGGCGACGAUCAGUAGCCGGCCUGGAGAGGGUGGACGGCCACAUUGGGACUGAGACACGGCCCAAACUCCUACGGAAGGCAGCAG
rnacentral:rRNA from 1 species